rnacentral:lncRNA from 1 species
GCCAAACCCAAACCCAAAUUCAGGUUUCUGGAUCCCAAGCUCAGAGCCCUUGCAGUUACAUUGCCAUAAAAGUUAUACUGUUAAAUUUUCAUUGAUCGCUUCUCAGAAAUGUGAUACGUGAGGCAGGAUUUCACAUGCUGGAUCUUGGCUUGAAGUCAGGAGAAAAGAGAAAGGGGUUGCCAAAUGUCAAAGAGAAUCCUAAGGGGAGAGAGCCAAAUGGGGUCAUCUGAAGAGGAGGUCGGAAGACUUAUAAACACAACUGAUGGCUAAGAUUGCUGGGAGGAGGAGGCACAGCAUCAAAAUUACAAGGAGAUUCUUGGAAUGGUUACUUUCCAAAAGAUUGACUUGCCUGUAGGAAAGGAGUGAAAAAUCCCACAAUAUAUUAGGGUAUGUCCUUUGUUUAUCUGUUCUUCCAUCUUUAUUGUCUGAGAUGUUGUGAAUGGGGGUCUCUAAGUUUCAGAAUAAACAUACACAAACACUAUGAAAAUUCCACAGCUUGUAAGUCCCGGGAAAUGAUCAUUUAACACCGCCCCCCCAUACAAAUUCUAAAUACGGGUCAAAUUCCAUUUUAAAACAGUCUAAGAAACUGCCCCCAAUUCCUCCUCUCCUCCUCUUCUUCUUUAUUGACUUCUCUGAAAUAAAUGGAUCAUCAUGUAGGCUUUGAAAUUUAAGCAAUUUAUUGUAAUGGGACUUAGUUGUCAUGUUAGCUAAGAAGAAAUCUCCGUAAAAGGACUGCUUCACAGAGAUGGACUCAGACUUUAACAGCACAAAGAAAUGCUUUUCAGUGUUCCUUCUUUGGAAGUUUAUCUCUUGCUCUGUAUACACAAUCAUAAUCAGCCUGUUUUAUGAUGGCUGGUAACCGACCCAGGCUACAGAAACAAUUAUUGUAACCAUGUCAACCUGUCAGGCUCCACUUGCAAAUACACGCACACACACACACACACACACACACACACGUGCACGCGCGCGGGGGCGCUUUGAAGCUGGGAAUCUUCACUUUGCAGAGCAGCACUCACCAGGCGCAGCCCGAGAAAUAUGUGGAAAGGUGUGCACGACAAAAGGCCAGAUCUCCUGAUAGGAAGCAGGAUGGAGGCUGGCACAACUUACAGAUGCAUCAGAUAUUGAUGGAUGCCAGAGAUCUGUUUACAGAUAAGCAAGAUUUGGUACCUGCCCUCAAAAUAAUCCUGAGCAGUCUUUGUAUGCCUUUCCUUUUGUGUCCUUUCAGAUCCUUAUACCUCAAAUAUCAUGGAGUAUGCUCUUUACUUUCUAUGUUGAGAACUUAAUUGUUGCUUUGACUACCAAAUAGCUCACACCCGAGAGCCCUGGUAAGCUUCAUUUCAGCCUCCAGGCCAACAUCCCAUACCAGCUUUCACCCUCCAAAAUGACAUGGCGGGUUGUUGAAAGUUAAUUCCUCCUGGAACUCUGUGAUAACACUAAAAUAUGUCCCAGAAGCUCUUUUAAAGGUUCACUUCUACGCAUAGAUUUCACUAUGUAUUUACAGACACUUGCGUGUUUUCGAAGACGUCAUUACAGUUUUCCCUCCUCAUAAUUAUGCCCCAUGUGAAUAAAAUAUGUGCUCUGAAAGUCUCUGGACUUCUU